rnacentral:lncRNA from 1 species
UUUUACUAAUAUUUUUCCAGCUUUCAACCCCCCCCCCCCCCCGCCCCGCCCCUCCUCCUUCUGUCUACCUUUUCGUGUUUUCACUUUUCUUGGUUCCUCGGAAUUCAAGUUCCCCACAGGAGAAAUUGAAGGCACUAGGCAACACAACAAUGGCGAAUGACCUUUUUCAAGAUCUGCUGCCGCCAUCUGUUUCUAAUUCCGAACAAAAUGCACUAUCUUCAAACAACAAUAAUAUCAGAUUCAGCAGCGCUCAAGAAUCUGUACCAAUCCCACCUCCUCCCGCUCCUGCACAUAAGAGCGCUCUCAAACGUCCUAAGCCACCUCCUGAAUCACAGCCCCAAGGUAUUUCAUAUCAUUCCCUUGCAAAAUUCAAUUUUAUUGAUUUUUACUUGUCGAGCCUUCUGGAUUUGGUUAUUGUUUGAAUACUCGUGUUUUGCCGUUAUACGUGUGUUGUUUAGCUGUGAAAAAUGGGUAAUAUUGGAGAAUAUAUAUUCUUCGACUUUUAGUGAUAAUUGUUUGGUUUCAGGGCUUUUUUGAGGGUUUCGUAGCCUUGCUGUGGUAUGAUUGCCUUGUGAAGGUGAUUCCAUUUGUGGUUUAUAAUUUGUUCAAUAUUUGAUGGGGGAUGAUGUUUAUGGCAAUUUUAAAAUUUUUGCAACAAAUGAGUUAUUAUUAUUAUUAUUAUUAUUAUAUAUUUUUUUAUAAGUUUUGGUCUAAGAUGCGAAUCAUGAAAAGCCAAUUGGGGUUUCUAAAACUGAUCGAAUGCAAUUAAAAUAUAAGAUUUUUAUCCUCGGUUAGCCUUUUGGCAAUUCACCUCUUUAGUAAUGAGGAAAUACACGAAAAUGGACUUUCCACUGUAGCAAAUUUUCAUAUUGGCUUUUGACCCAUUAAAUGAAUUAAAAAAAAAAAGAAAUUAUUAUCCGUUGUUCGAUGCUCUAACAUUUGAAUUUUUGCAGGAUGGAGUAUCAUUUAGAUGGGGAGUUGAGACGGAUGGCGGGGAAAGCUACUUGGAAUAGUAGCUUUGAGAGUUUUACUGCUGUGUUGGAGCUGCUCGAUGAUCAGCACACAGAUAUGCUACGACAGUCCUUCUUAUGGCCACUGUACCAGUUGCGAGAGAUGCAGUACUCAGGACAGAUUAUCGAUGCACUUCUAUGUCGGCUUCUGAGGCCAGUCGACGGCGAUUCCCUCCAGUUCGACCUCGGGGGCAAGGUCGUCAGUUUCUCGACAUUUGAGUUUACAUUGAUCACUGGACUGAGGAUUACGGGCGACGAUACAGCCAUUGAGAGAAGCAAUAGGCUGUACGAGACGUACUUCCAGGGACAUGGGUCGGUGCUUCUACCCGACUUGAUGGUCGCGAUGCGACCAGAUGCUAGAUAGAUUGAAGUUUGGGCUGAUCUACAUCCUCGAGAGUAUGAUGAUGUGUCAUCACAAGAAGACUGCUAUCGAUAUUUUUCAUUUGCAAGUUGUUGACGACAUCGAUGCGUUCAAUAACUAUCCAUGGGGUCGGAGAUGCUACGAAGACACUGUACAUGUCUUCACCAGAGCACACUCGAGGCCCAGGGGGUCGAUGCGUAAAUACGAUACAUAUGGAUUGUCCUUAGCGGUGCAGGUAAAUGUUUAAUAUAAUCAAAGUUAAAGUUUUAGUAUAUUACAUUUGUGCAUGAUAAGUAUGUGUUACAGAUUUGGGUGUAUGAGACAGUUCUUGUAUUGGGGGCCCACUUUGCG